CCAUAAGCAUGCAAGGCAUCUCAUCACGAUAUCAAUGCAUCACAGCGGAAUAAAUUUAAAUAAUUAUUAUUCAACUUUAAUUCAAGUAAUUAAAUCAAAUGUCUUACAUCCAAUAAAAUUUUACUAACAAUAAAACAAUAGGUCUAAGUUCAAUGAAGUUGACAAUGCUAAAUCUCACCUCUAAAAGCUCUGUCCCAAUAUUUC
rnacentral:lncRNA from 1 species